rnacentral:rRNA from 1 species
GACGAACGCUGGCGGCGUGCUUAACACAUGCAAGUCGAACGGAAAGGCCCUGCUUUUGUGGGGUGCUCGAGUGGCGAACGGGUUAGUAACACGUGAGUAACCUUCCCUUUACUUUGGGAUAACUUCAGGAAACUGGGGCUAAUACCGGAUAGGAGCUCCUGCUGCAUGGUGGGGGUUGGAAAGUUUCGGCGGUUGGGGAUGGACUCGCGGCUUAUCAGCUUGUUGGUGGGGUAGUGGCUUACCAAGGCUUUGACGGGUAGCCGGCCUGAGAGGGUGACCGGCCACAUUGGGACUGAGAUACGGCCCAGACUCCUACGGGAGGCAGCAGUGGGGAAUAUUGCACAAUGGGCGGAAGCCUGAUGCAGCAACGCCGCGUGCGGGAUGACGGCCUUCGGGUUGUAAACCGCUUUCGCCUGUGACGAAGCGUGAGUGACGGUAAUGGGUAAAGAAGCACCGGCUAACUACGUG